GCCGUGGCGGCCGUGAGGGUGGGAAGGCCCGGGCGCUCCGGCGGCGCUCGGAGCGGCACUUACCGACCGGCUCGCCGGCACUUCAACUCACGCGCGCCCCUCGCCGCUCCCCCCCUCCACCUCGUACACGGUGGUAGUAGAGAGUGAUGUCUCCCCGGAUCCUCCUCCUCUCCAGGCUAAACACCCCCAGCUCCCUCAGCCACUCCUCAUAGGAUCUGUGCUCCAGAGACUUCACUAGUCCGGAUUCACUUUGAUGAAGAACAUGGCAAGAUAUCCACAAAGGCUCAUUUCUACUAGAUACUCCUCGUAUAUGGAGAGGAGGCAUGGGAAAAGAGAACAAAACAGUCCUAGAGAGCAGGUGAUUUUGUGGACCCAGAGGAGCAUCUUAGAGGAGAUAUGAAAAGAUGAACCGUGUCUGGUUCGGUGGGACUCUUCUGCCUUUGAUUCAUUAAAUACGCUGUAACAAUAACAGCUACUAAUUAAUAAUGUUUUUGGCUAUAUAUGGUGCUGUGUAUUGCCACUUUAACUCAAAUAGUGACUUUCCUAUGUAAAGCUCCACCUAGUUCCCAUGUGUUACAACUCCUUGAGAAGUAUUUUUCCAUCUUCUAAAUUUUAAUUAUUCUCUAAAGAGUGCAUCUCUUGAUUCGAUUUAAAAAACUCCUAUGUAACAUAUGGAUGCCCAUUUAAUGUAGACAGCACAACUCCUCUUUAAUGCAGAAGCUUUCUAUUUAAAAUCAAUAUGUUCACACCACUUUAAGUCUCUCUUCUUCACUUCCAUGUCCCAGUUCAACAAUUUCUAAGCAGCGGGUAUCAGAAUAAACUUUA